UGAGGAAUAUUGGGUCAAUGGGCGAGAGCCUGAACCAGCCAAGUAGCGUGCAGGAUGACGGCCCUAUGGGUUGUAAACUGCUUUUAUAAGGGAAUAAAGUGGGUCUCGUGAGACUUUUUGCAUGUACCUUAUGAAUAAGGACCGGCUAAUUCCGUGCCAGCAGCCGCGGUAAUACGGAAGGUCCGGGCGUUAUCCGGAUUUAUUGGGUUUAAAGGAGCGUAGGCCGGAGAUUAAGCGUGUUGUGAAAUGUAGAUGCUCAACAUCUGCACUGCAGCGCGAACUGGUCUUCUUGAGUACGCACAACGUGGGCGGAAUUCGUGGUGUAGCGGUGAAAUGCUUAGAUAUCACGAAGAACUC
rnacentral:rRNA from 1 species